rnacentral:lncRNA from 1 species
GGUCUGUAUACAAUCCUUAAUAGACCACUUUUGUUCAUCAUAUCUUUGCUUAUCCUCAAUCUAAAGUUGGUAUUUGAUCGUCUUCGUAGUGUAAUGUAUGGAGAUGAACGUCUGUCGUUCGUGCUGAUUUGUAUACGGAUUGCCGGACUGUAUGGAUCUUGAACAACUCUUUUUUGUGGAAACAAAUUGCUAGAAUAUACUUCGUU